rnacentral:lncRNA from 13 species
CCAGCAUUCCUCUCCAUCCCAAGAAUGUGGUUAUGGUUUGGCAGAGAAUGACCAUAAUUUCCAGCUGAUCAGAGAAAACGUGACUUGUGUAUUCCAGACCAUGUGCUCUACUUUGCAGUCCAGCUUCUCACUCUCCUCCCUGCUGAUGCAACUUGUUCUCAGCUCUCUCCUUGCAUGAAUCAACAGCAGUUCCAGGACAGGGAGACACCAUCAGGAACUUAGCCUUCACACAGAAAGACUCCAGAUCUCAGAGAGCAGUGCCCAAGAUGCCCAGACAGAACCCUGGUAUUUUCUACUGUGAGUUUCAUGCUGCAAAUACACAAUAAACAAAUCAACAGUUAUUUUGCAUAUAUACCCAGGUUUCUUCAUUUAUUUGAAAAGAAGAAGGAGGAAUGAAGAAAAAUGGACAGAGACUGGAGUGCAGUGGCAUGAUCACAGCUCACUGCAGCCUCAACUUCCUGGGCUCAGAUGAUUCUCCCACUUCAGCCUCCUGA